GCAUCCGUAGCUCAGCUGGAUAGAGUACUCGGCUACGAACCGAGCGGUCGGAGGUUCGGAUCCUCCCGGAUGCACCA
rnacentral:tRNA from 1 species